rfam:Hypholoma sublateritium FD-334 SS-4 unplaced genomic scaffold scaffold_148, whole genome shotgun sequence.
GGGCGCUUAGCACAGUGGUAGCGCGCUUGCUUUGCACUAUUAAGUGAAUUGCACGAGGUCGAGGGUUCAAGCCCCUCAGCGUCCA